rnacentral:rRNA from 1 species
AUCUACAGCCAUACUACCCUGAAUAUGCCUGACCUUGUCUGAUCUUGGAAGCUCAGCAGGGCUGGUCUUGGAUGAGAGGCUAAGGCCUUUAAAGCAGUGAGGUU